AAACGGAAGUUCAUGGCUGCUCCAACAAAACCAUGGGAAAGAGCAGGGAUAAACUAUCAAAAUUUUGGAAGCUUACCAGCAAAUAACAUGUCAGGUCCUCCUAUAGGAGGAACAGAGAGCCUGCCACCAUGCUGUGUCCCAGGUGCAUCAGGCCCGGGGAAUCCUCCCCCGAUACCCUCCCGUCCGACACAAACUGGCAUGGGAAGUCGCUUAUCAUCACCAUACGGGGGAUACAGUACCGGUAGUUAUUCUCCCUAUAGUAGUUAUGGAGGAAUGGGUGGAUAUGGCUACAGUCCUUACAGCAGUUAUGGAUCUAUGGGUUAUGGGGGAAUCGGGGGAUAUAACAGAAUGGGUUAUAAUGAUGAUUUCAAUCAAAAUAGCAUUGCCAGACUGGCAGAGGAAAGCUCUAGGCCUGCAUUCCAGUCCAUUGAAAGUAUAGUUAAUGCCUUCACCUCUGUUAGCAUGAUGUUGGAUUCCACAUUUCAGGCCAUGUACAACUCGUUCCGAGCAGUUGUAGGUGUCGCUGACAAUUUCACUCGCCUUAAAUCCCAGAUUGGUCAAGUAUUGUCGGCUUUUGCAGUAUUUCGAUUUCUGAAGUAUCUAUACCGUAAACUAUUGGUGUUGUUGCGACUGAGGCCCCAAGGUUAUGCGGAAGAAGCUUGGUCAAAGGCAUCUGAUGUGUUAAGUCAGCUUCCUGAUGAAGGGGGAGCUCCCAAGAAGAGCACAUGGCCUAUAAUGCUGUUCUUUGGAGUCAUUAUGGGAGGACCCUGGCUCAUCUGGAGGAUGAUAUCCAGCUUGAGUGGACCUUCUGUGAAAGCCUGGGCUUCUGGAGAAGAUGACCAUUUUGUUGCCAGGGCAGAGUAUAAUUUUAAUGGGAACAGUGAGGAAGAGCUUUCUUUCAAAGCAGGACAGCUCAUUAAAGUAGCACCAAAAGAAAUUCAACCACGAAUGAGAGGCUGGCUUUUGGCAUCUGUGGAUGGACAGAAAGUUGGAAUUAUUCCUGGAAACUACGUAAAGGUGCUUGGGAAGAAGAGAGGCACAAAACACCAGCAACAGUCUUCCCCUGGUAUUACAGCAGAUCCUGCACAGAUCCCAACAUUAAGCUCAGUCAACAGUGCCUCUGCUCCAGACCUGGUGUCCGAAACAAGCACCUGUUGUAAGAAAUCAUGUGACAAGUCAGAGAGUGUGAACAGUGGACAAGUCAAACCAGUGGCUAGUGCACCAUGUAUGGACAACUUCAAUUCAACUUCAGAAAACAGUACAUCCUUUGCUAAUCUAGAGGAUGCAUUUCCAAUUGAUUCUAAUUCACAGAACAAUUUAAAAAGGCAACCAGAAAAUUUGAAUGCAAAGGAUAUUUUGGAUGCCAAUGAGGAUAACCUGAUAAAUUAAGUUUGGUGUUGGGUAUUACCGGUACUGCCAUAAUUGUGAUAACUGAUCAAACAAUCAGAUUAAGUAGGAUUACAACUGACAUAAUUUAUUGAUGGUAUGUGUACUGUGUACAUGGUAUUGAUUUUUCUCAUAAGUAAUGGAAAAUUGAAUCAGGAAAAAAGCAGAUUAUUUUUUAUGUACAACAGUGUUUUUAAAUUGUUUCCAUGCAAAGUUCAUGUUGAAUAUGCUGGUAAGAUGCUUUUAUAUUGAAUUUAAAUCAUAAUAAAUAAUUUAGAUUUAUGAGCUGAACAUUUCCAAUUCUAUUGUGAAGUCCUUUUUGUAUACAAUCAUUUAUAUGAUAAUCCUUGAAAUCCAGCCUCACUUUCAUUCAUAUAAUUUACAUGUAUUUCCUUUCUCUGCCACUAGUUUAAUUACAGUUAUCUCUCCUGUUGGCUGUUAGUUGUUGUAUCUCAUUUCUGGGGAUGUGAAGUGAGGAGAACUCAGAUUGCUUUUCUUUUCUAAAAAGUGUGGUAUUAUCUGGGAUAGGGAUUUAUAUUAUUUUAAUACCUCUUCAGAAAUAAAGUAAUUGAAUGUCAGGAUAAUGUUUCCAAUUGAUCUGGUUUAACCAUAUUAUAAUAUUGCAAGAACUGAAAUGGGUGAUCUCUAAGACUCUAACAAUACAAUUUAAAAUUUCUUUUUACAUUGCAAAAAAAUAAAAAAGAAGUAUGGUAGAUCUACUCAUAACAUAUAUAUCUUGUUUCUUAAGUUUAGGUUAUACUAUAAUUAUUGGCAGAUUUCCUAAAAAUUUUGAUGUUAAUAUGUGUGAAAUAUUAUUUAAAAAGAAAAAAUAUUGAAUUGAUAUAAUUGUAGAAUCAGAACUUUUGAUAUGUGAUUUUUUAUGGCUAAAAAACAAUUAUACAAAAUGCAAGUGAUUUUUUAUAUGCUGUAUAAAUGAGGGAAAUGAAUUUUAAGAGAACGUAUGUAAAGGGAUAGGGAAAUUGCUUGUCAAUUAAAAAUCAGCAUGUGAUCUAUUUGUAAAUUUAAAAUAAAAAUAAGAUUAUGAAAGACUUGCAUCCUCAUUUUACUUCAUAAUGGUUUCAUUUCUUAGAGGAAGAAAAUAAUUUCAUACACAGUUUGGACAUCACAAUUUAGUAAAAGCUGAAUUAAAUGUCCUUGUAUGGAAAUCACUUGAUUUUAUGCAUACAUUUGUAUUUGAUUUGUGCUUUAAUUUAACACUGUUAUAUUUUAAAAAUGAUAAAGCAAGAAAUGCAGAAAAAAUCCCUAAAGGUAUUAAAAUUAAUGCUUGAAUUUUAAAAUUCAAUUAUAAAAUUUUUAUUUUUCCCGAUUCAUUUCCCCCCCAGUAAUUAUGCAUUUCUGCUUGAUGUGAAUGAUUUGAGAGAAAGAGAGAGAGAGAGAGAGAGAUAUUUAAAAAAAUCAAAAAUUAAAUCUGACAGUAUAAAAUAAUGAUGUAUUAAAGUCUGUUAUCAGCUU
rnacentral:misc_RNA from 1 species